rnacentral:rRNA from 1 species
UACGGUGAAUACGUUCCCGGACCUUGUACACACCGCCCGUCAAGCCAUGGAAGCUGGGUGUACCUAAAGUCGGUAACCGCAAGGAGCCGCCUAGGGUAAACUAGUAACUGGGGCU